AAGCGAUCCGGAGACGGAGCAGCAAAAGCAAAAGCAGAAGCAGAGCCGAGCAGCAGCAACAGCAACAUCAAAGCAAAGCACAGCAGCAGCAGCAGCAACAACAGCAGCAGCAACAGCAACACAAGCAGCAGCUAGUUAGUUAGUUUUGAGCUCGUAGUAGUGAGAGUCAAUCGCACACACACUGCCGACCACGAAAGCAAGUUGCUUAAGUCGCUCAAAGCGCCAUUUAAGUUGAGUAAUUAAAACAGGCAGUGUGUGUGUGUGCGUGUGUGCGAGUGCGAUUAAUUAUUAAUCAAGCCAAAAAACAACAAGCAACCGCUAAGGCAACAAUAACAAACAAGCCAGACUCACAAUUACAAUAUUUCAGCUCUCUCAGUCGCCGUCUUCAGUCCACAGUCUCCGGUCCACAGUCUACAGUCAACGCAGAGUCUUCGGUCCUCAGUCUUAAGUGUUCAGUCUUCUGUCUUCCGUCUCAGCUGCGAUAUCUCGACUUUCUUCAAGCCUCUCUUCGAGCCAAAGCCACAGAGCUGUUACACAUUUGACUUUUCGGCGCUGCGGCAACUGGUUCGGUUUAUUUUUGGCUCCAAAUCUCGGACUAAGCCGCGGACUUCUCGAGACUGCAGCGCUGCUAAUGCAAAUCUAAAUUGAUUGCAAAAUGCUUAGAGUCCCGAGCAGACAAUCUUUCGAGUUGAUCGGCGUUGCCGGAUUGUUCGGCUUGUUCGAGUUAUAGGAGCUAGAUCGUUUUGAGAUAUGGCAAAGUGAGAGUUUAAUGAAGUCGGAGCACAAAAGGCAGGCAGAGCCCCAUUUGACUCAUAGAUCUGUUAAAUAUUUUUCAAAAUUUUGUUUGUUUAAUUUGUUAGUUAGGUCUUGAAACUAAGAUUCCCCAUACUUUACUCACCAUAUCAAUCAUACGCCUAGUGUGCCCAUCUGGCAACGCUAGCUGCCCAAAUCCAUGCAGCAAACUUAAUUGAUGCCGCUGAUCUGGUUGUUGUUCUUGCCGCUGAUCCUUUCUUCCCGUUUAUUGUGUUUGCCGCAGGAACACAAGUGCAACAAAACAAGCAGCCGCGGAGCAGAAAAAGCACAACAAGCACGCUGACAACAUCGACUUCAUCGUUCGCCGUGUGUCGUGUAUUAAAACUUGUUCAUUGGAAUUUUCUAAUAAAUCAAUAAACGCAGACAA